rfam:Oryza meridionalis cultivar OR44 (W2112) chromosome 5, whole genome shotgun sequence.
GUGGUCGACGAUGACGACCUCAUCAGCUACAUCAUCGCCGGCCUCGACGAGGAUUACGAGCCUGUGAUCCAAUCCAUUGUCGGGCGCCCAGACCAAGUCUCUGUCUGCUAGGCCUUUGCUCAGCUUUUAAGCUUCGAGC